CUACGGCCUCGGAUGAGAUGUGGCGACCCGCUGAAUAUAAGCAUAUUACUAAGUAGAGGAAAAGAAACUAAUCAGGAUUCCCUCAGUAACGGCCAGUGAAGAGGUAAGAGCCUAGCGCUGAAUCCCCGUUCAGCGUCAGGCAAGGGGAAAUGUGGCGUACAGAAGAUCGACUCCUCAGCAUCGCUCAUGGGGCUCAAGUCCUCUGAUCGAGUCUCACCCUGCAGACGGUAUUAGGCUGGUAGCAGUCUCUGGGAUGCCGAGAUCAGGUCUUCUUGGAAUCAGGUUGCUUGGGAAUGCACCCCAAAGCAUGUGAUAAACUCCAUCUGAGGCUAAAGACGGGCGCGAGACGGAUGGCUAACAAGUACCACAAGGGAACGUUGAAAAUAACAUUGAAGAGAGAGCUCAAGAGGGAAUGAACCGUUGAGAGGUAAACUGGUGGGGUCCGUGCAGUCAGGCCGCGUGAUUCAACACAGCAGGCAGGUCGGUCGCCUGGAACGGUGGAUGCUCUCACGGAACUGCGGCCUGGGCAGACCCGGCAGCUGCAGGGCACAUUUCCUCUGUGGCGGUGCACUGCGACAGACUGGGAAGGCCCCAGGGGGCAGGUGGCUCUCUGCUCCGUCAGAGAGUGUUACAGACCCCUGACAGCAGUUUUGCUGUGUCCGCCAGGCCGAGGGAGAUUGACCGCUGCCAUGCCCGUCUCCGGCAACCGUCCUGGCCCUCUUGGGGUCACCGGUUGGCAACUGGAGACAGGGCACCCGAUGCGACUGUGGCGGACUGCCCUCAGUGCACCCAGACCACGUUGUGCGCUGGCAGGGACGCCCACAAAGGGCGCCAGGGUCUGAGGUGAUGUCAGUUAACCACCUGACCUGUCUUGAAACACAGUCCAAGGAGUCCUAACACAUGCGCAAGUCGGGGGGCCAAAUGAAACACUGUGUUCAAAGAAGGUAAGGGCCGGCGCGCGCUGAUUGCAGUGGGAUCCCGUCGCAGUGCGUGCACCACCGACCCGUCUCGCCGCUCUGUCAGGCAGAUGGAGCAUGAGCGUGUGUGAUAGGACCCGAAAGAUGUUGAACUAGGCCUGGUGGAGGUCCGUAGCGGCCCUGACGUGUAAAUCGGUCAUCCGACCUGGUUCCCUCCAGAGUUUCCCUCAGGAUAGCUGGCGCAUGGAAACCCCAGUUUUAUCGGGUAAAGCGAAUGAUUAGAGGUCUUGGACCAAAAUGAUCUCAAUCUAUUCUCAAACUUUAAAUGGAUAAGAAGCCCGGCUCGCCGGCGUGGAGCCGGGCAUUGAAUGCAAGGGGCCAGUGGCAACAUUUGUUAAGCAGAACUGGCGCUGCAGGAUGAACCGAAUGCCGGGUUAAGGCGCCCGAUGCCAACGCUCAUCAGACCCCAGAAAAGGUGUUGGUUGAUAUAGACAGCAGGAUGGUGGCCAUGGAAGUAGGAAUCUGCAAAGGAGACACAGGGAGUUUUUUUCUUUGUGAAGGGCAGGGCACCCUGGAAUGGAUUCACCCUGAGAGAGGGGCCCGAGCCUUGGAAAGCGUUGCAGUUCCGUCUGCGUGCGGUGAGCUCUCGCUGGUCCUUGAAAUUCCGGGGGAGAUUGUGUAAAUCUCGCGCUGGGCUAUACCCAUAUCCUCAGCAGGUCUCCAAGGUGAACAGCCUCUGGCAUGUUGGAACAAUGUAGGUAAGGGAAGUCGGCAAGCCAGAUCCGUAACUUCGGGAUAAGGAUUGGCUCUAAGGGCUGGGUCGGUCGGGCUGGGAAGUGGGCUUGGCGCGCCCUGCGGCUGGACAAGGUGUCUCACCCUCCCUCCCCCCAGGGUCAGUGCUGACUCUGGAUGCGAGCCAGGCCCUGCCUGCGGAUCGCCCCUGCUGCGGUGGUCGCCUUUAUCCUUUCCCCUCCCGGGGUUCAGAGCCGACAUUCUGCCUCGGCCGACGUCUACUAGCUGACUUAGAACUGGUGCAGACCAGGGGAAUCUGACUGUAAACAGCAUUGCGAAGGCCUGCGGUGGGUGUUGACGUGAAGUGAUUUCUGCCCAGUGCUCUGAAUGUCAAGGUGAAGAAAUAAAAUGAAUCGCGGGUAAACGGCGAGAGUAGCUAUGACUCUCUUAAGGUAGUCAAAUGCCUCGUCAUCUAAUUAGUGACGCGCAUGAAUGGAUGAACGAGAUUCCCACUGUUCCUACCUACUAUCUAGCAAAACCACAGCCAAGGAAACAGGCUUGGCAGAAUCAGCAGGGAAAUAAGACCCAGUUGAGCUUGUCUCUAGUCUGGCACUGUGAAGAGACAUGCAAGGUGUAGGAUAAGUGGGAGGCCCUCGGGCCGCUGGUGAAAUACCACUAAUUCCAUCGUUUUUUCACUUACCCAGUGAGGUGCGGGUGAGCCCCGUGGGGCUCUCACUUCUGGCUCCAAGCUCCCGGCGCCCGGUGUGCGUGACCCGCGCCGGGGACAGUGGCAGUUGGGGAGUUGGACUGGGGCGGUACACCUGUCAACAAUAACGCAGGUGUCCUAAGGCCAGCUCAGGGAGGACGGAAACCUCCUGCGGUCAGAAGGCCAAAAGCUCACUUAAUCUCGAUUUUUCAGUAUGAAUACAGACCGUGAAGGCGGGGCCUCACGGUCCUUCUGACAUUUUGGGUUUCAAGCAGGAGGUGUCAGAAAAGUUACCACAGGGAUAACUGGCUUUUGGCGGCCAAGCGUUCAUAGUGACGUCGCUUUUUGAUCCUUCGAUGUCGGCUCUUCCUAUAAUGAAGCAGAAUUCACCAAGCAUUGGAUUGGUCACCCACUAAUAGGGAACGUGAGGUGGGUUUAGACUGUCGUGAGACAGGUUAGUUUGACUCUGCUGAUGAUAUGUUGUUGCAAUAGUAAUCCUGCUCAGUACAAGAGGAACCGCAGGUUCAGACAUUUGGUGUAUGUGCUUGGCUGAGGAGCCAAUGGGGCGAAGCUACCAUCUGUGGGAUUAUGACUGAAUGCCUCUUAAGUCAGAAUCCCCCUAUACGUACCGCUGUCGAGCCUCGGUUGGCCUAGGAUAGCCGGCCUCUGGGCCGGUGCAAUAGUCGCUCGCCUCGGAUUUGAGUGUGGACAGAAGGGGCCCACCUCUCUUGCCAUAGUGUACUGCAUGUGCGUGGGGACACUGGUGCAAAAUCAUUGGACCUGAUUCUGGUUCAGGGUUUCGUAAGUAGGAAAACAGCUACCUCGCUGCAAUCUAUUGAAAGUCAUCCUC
rnacentral:rRNA from 1 species